GCCGGAUUGGCGGAAUUGGCAGACGCGAAGCACUCAAAAUGCUUUGUCCUUUGGGCGUGUGGGUUCGAGUCCCACAUCCGGCA
rnacentral:tRNA from 1 species